UAUAGAUUUCCAUUUUCUUUCAAACUGAAUCUUUAAAUCCAGGUAGGCUUCAGGAUCAUAACUGAAAAUAUCUUAGUUACAUUUCAUUGGCAACAAGCGUAUCAAGAAUUAGUUUUAGAGAAAAUAUAAUAAAAUUGAUUUUUUAUCGUUGUGUCCGAUAACAGCUGUUCUUAUACUUAAGUUGGGCCAUUGUUCUCGAUAACUUAUACAGAUUUAUGAAUUGAUGUCAAUAACCUUUGACUCGUGUUGAUAAUGAUAGCUGAGUAAUCUAGCGGUCCGUCAGACCAUCACUACAAAGUAUCGAACUAUAUGUUUUGAUUGGUCAGACAAACUCACGUGGUCUCUAUAUAAGCCGCCGCGCAGUCUGCUGCAGCAUCAGAUAUUUCCCCAGCGAAACAUCCGACUCUUAUUAACAUGGGCAAGGAAAGGACCAGCGUCAACAUGGCCGUCGUCGGCUACUACUAGACUUUCCAUCAGCAGAUGGACGGCUAGUAUAUAACGGACAUAACCCGGCUUUUGAACACGGACACGCUCUGGACACGGACAACACGAUGCUAGCUCUCCCGGACAAUUAUCAUACAUCAACAUGAUUGGCAAUCUUUUUGUGCAAACAUUUAUGUAAUAAAACAAAAUUUUUCUGUA